GGCUUCGUAGCUCAGCUGGUAGGACGCAUGCUGCUUUUGGGCACGGUGUUUCUGUUGCUGGUUCGAAUCCAGCUGAAGCCG